rnacentral:rRNA from 1 species
CGGAGGAUCCAAGCGUUAUCCGGAAUCAUUGGGUUUAAAGGGUCCGUAGGCGGGUUUAUAAGUCAGUGGUGAAAGCCCAUCGCUCAACGAUGGAACGGCCAUUGAUACUGUAGAUCUUGAAUUAUUAGGAAGUAACUAGAAUAUGUAGUGCAGCGGUGAAAUGCUUAGAGAUUACAUGGAAUACCAAUUGCGAAGGCAGGUUACUACUAAUGGAUUGACGCUGAUGGACGAAAGCGUGGGUAGCGAACAGGAUUAGAUACCCUGGUAGUCCACGCCGUAAACGAUGGAUACUAGCUGUUCGGAGCAAUCUGAGUGGCUAAGCGAAAGUGAUAAGUAUCCCACCUGGGGAGUACGUUCGCAAGAAUG